rnacentral:rRNA from 1 species
ACGCUGGCGGCACGCCUUAUACAUGCAAGUCGAACGAAGUAGCAAUACUUAGUGGCAGACGGGUGAGUAACAUGUAGGUAUCUUCCCUUUGGUGAGGAAUAACACGAGGAAACUUGUGCUAAUACCUCAUAAGUCUUUACGGAGAAAGCUUUAUGCGCCGAAGGAUGAGCCUGCACUUGAUUAGUUUGUUGGUGGGGUAAUGGCCUACCAAGACUUUGAUCUAUAGCUGAUCUGAGAGGAUGAUCAGCCACAUUGGGACUGAGACACGGCCCAAACUCCUACGGGAGGCAGCAGUAGGGAAUAUUGCACAAUGGAGGAAACUCUGAUGCAGCGAUGCCGCGUGAGUGAAGAAGGCCUUUGGGUUGUAAAGCUCUUUCGUCGGGGAAGAAAAUGACUGUACCCGAAUAAGAAGGUCCGGCUAACUUCGUGCCAGCAGCCGCGGUAAUACGAAGGGACCUAGCGUAGUUCGGAAUUACUGGGCUUAAAGAGUUCGUAGGUGGUUAAAAAAGUUGGUGGUGAAAUCCCAGAGCUUAACUCUGGAACUGCCAUCAAAACUUUUUAGCUAGAGUAUGAUAGAGGAAAGCAGAAUUUCUAGUGUAGAGGUGAAAUUCGUAGAUAUUAGAAAGAAUACCAAUUGCGAAGGCAGCUUUCUGGAUCAUUACUGACGCUGAGGAACGAAAGCAUGGGUAGCGAAGAGGAUUAGAUACCCUCGUAGUCCAUGCCGUAAACGAUGUGUGUUAGACGUUGGAAAUUUAUUUUCAGUGUCGCAGCGAAAGCAUUAAACACACCGCCUGGGGAGUACGACC